UAUAUACUCCCUCCGUCUCAUAUUAAGUGACUCAAAUUUGUCCAAAUAUGGAUGUAUCUAUGUCUAAAAAGCGUCUAGAUACAUGUAAUAGAAAGUCACUUAAUAUGGGAUGGAGGGAGUACAUC
rnacentral:pre_miRNA from 1 species